rnacentral:rRNA from 1 species
AACGAACGCUGGCGGCGCGCCUAACACAUGCAAGUCGAACGAGAAGGCGUAGCAAUACGCUUGUAGAGUGGCGAACGGGUGAGUAAUACGUGGGUGACCUACCCUCGAGUGGGGAAUAACCCGCCGAAAGGCGGGCUAAUGCCGCGUACGCUUCCGUCCUCACGGGGACGGAAGGAAAGCUGUACCGUGGGUACGGCGCUCAAGGAUGGGCUCACGUCCUAUCAGCUUGUUGGUAGGGGUAACGGCCACCAAGGCUACGACGGGUAGCUGGUCUGAGAGGACGAUCAGCCACACUGGCACUGCGACACGGGCCAGACUCCUACGGGAGGCAGCAGUGAGGAAUAUUGCGCAAUGGGCGAAAGCCUGACGCAGCGACGCCG